rnacentral:misc_RNA from 1 species
GGAUUGGUCCUUAUUUUGUUCUUUUUUCUUAGCUAUUCUACAUCAGUUGAAGGCAGUAGUGGAAUGGAUCAAGGGCCGUGAUACAUGUGCCAGGUGUAAGAGUGAAACCUGUGCAUCUCCAGGGCUAUUACAACCAAGCUUGGUAACAUGUUACCAUGGAUUUUAUAGAACAAUUGCCAAGAUCCACCCACUUUAUAGCAUUACAUCAUCCUUUUUCCACUAAAGACAUUGCUAAACUAUUCUUAGACAAUAUAUUCAAGUUACAUGGAUUGGUCCUUAU